AAGACAGGCCCUGAAGCCAUAUCCUCAGGUGUGGGUCAGAGGAAGAUCCUGGGGCAUCUCCACCAUGGCCUGGACCCCUCUCCUGCUCCCCCUGCUCACUCUCUGCACAGGUUUGGUGGCCUCUUCUGAAGUGACUCAGCCCUCAGCAGUGUCUGUGAACCCAGGACAGACAGUCAGGAUCACCUGCCAGGGAGAGGCCGUAAGAAAAUAUUAUCCUUCCUGGGUACAGCAGAAGGCAGGCCAGGCCCCUGUAACAGUCAUCUAUGGAAACAACAAUCGGCCCUCAGGGAUCCCAGACCGAUUCUCUAGUUCUGACUCAGGGGACACCAACACCCUGACCAUCAGCGGGGCCCGGGCUGAGGACGAGGCUGACUAUUACUGUGCAGCAGGGGACGGUAGUACUAAUACUCACAGUGACACAGGCAGGUGGGGAAGUGAGACAAAAACCUCCAUCUGUGUCACACUCCCCUCAGGACCCAGGAGGAUGCAGACAAAGCCAUGAGCAGCUUUGGCCCUG